CACAGAAACGUGAUGCAAAAUGCCUUUUCUGAGUUUCAGAACCAAGUUCAAAGAGAUACAGAACAAUCUGCAACCUAACCGGAGUUCCAAUUUCUCAACACUGAUCGAGCGACAGAGGAAAACACAACAAACAAGCAUCUUGAUCUGAAGAGAAAGCCAUCGGACGAACAUUGAUGGAACAGAAACUCAGGAUUUAUUACACCCUAAACAUGAUUCUUCUCCGCCCGGCCGGAGCCGGAGACGCCCAUACUAGAGAUCUGGGGCAACACAAAACAAUCACAGGGGCGGCUUAAACAGGCAGUGGCGCGGCAGGUGCAUGCACAUGGCCUGGAGCACGUCGGCGCAGGACUCCUCGCGGACGCAGCCCAGCAGCAAGCAGCAGUGGUCGUCCACCGGGGACUCGUAAUCGGUGGACAGCGACUUGAGGAACUUCUCCGAGCACCACCUCGGCACCCCGGUCGCCGUCUUGGAGCAGGAGUCGCCCACCGGAGUCUGCGCCCCGGCGCCGGAGGCGAAGGAGACGACAGACACGAGGAGGAAGAGGAAGAGGAAGCGGAGAUGUUGUUGUUGGAGGAACGCAGCCAUUGUGAGCUGUUUGAUGCCGCUGGUGUUUUGGCACUCUGGGUUGAGAUGUACUAUAGCAAGUGUGCGUAUAUAUAGCGGCGCGGUAUAGUGGUCGAGU
rnacentral:lncRNA from 1 species